UUCUCAUCUUUUUGUGUUGUAAAUGUAGUUUUUUUUCUCUAUCUGUGCUCUGUUUUUUUGGGGCAUGGCCAUGCCUCCUGUGUCUAUGUUUGUUCUGUUCAUCAUGUUUUUCUUUUGAGUUUUUGUUUGCAUUAUUAUGUGUUCUGUUUUUUUCUUUUAAUAUGUGUUCGGUGAGGAUAGAGAUCGAUGUUCGCGAGGAACUGCAUAUGCGGGAAUUUCAAGCAUUGAUGAGACUCCUCUUACAACAUUCAAAGCCCUGGGACUCUGGCUCAGCAUUGUGUGUGGCAUUUUUGUACAAUCAAAUUUACUAUUCCUAGUGACUUUUUGUACAAACUAGGAACAAGAGUUUGUUUAUUUGCCCAUGAAAACGAAUGUCCUCAUCUCGACCUGAUCUUCCAACACAAAAAAGAGGAACCUGAGGAGGAAAGGUAUCUUGCUGGUACACCUUCAGGAAAACAAAUGUAUAGGAGAUAUAUGUAAGGAGUCAACCAGAAAAAUAUGGAAGGAGCUUUUUCAUAGUGGGAAGGAGCUGAAUGCCCAUGGUCUGUUAAUGUCUUUUAUAAUGAGUGUCGUGAUUUUAUAUUGUUUAACAUUUAAUGUCUUAUUAGAAUCACAAUACAAUUAACAUUCUGAUAUGAACAAGUGAUUUUAUAUUGUUUAACAUUUAAUGUCUUAUUAGAAUCACACUAUAAUUAAC